AUGGAGGGUGCUCUGGUGAGUGUGGCGACGGGGACCCUGAAACCCGUCCUGGGGAAGCUGGCUUCUCUGAUGGGCGACGAGUACAAGCGUCUCAAGGGGGUGCGCGGCGAGAUCAAGUUUCUGACCGAUGAGCUUACUGCCAUGCAUGCCUUUCUCCUGAAGAUGUCAGAGGAGGAGGAUCCUGAUGUACAGGAAAAAGUUUGGAUGAAUGAGGUGCGCGAGCUGUCCUACGGCAUGGAGGACUCCAUCGAUGACUUCAUGAAACAUGUAGAUGACAAUGACACAAAGCCAAGCAGCUUCAUGGAGAAGAUCAAGAACUUGUUGGGGAAGAUGAAGACUCGCCAUCGGAUUGCAAACGAGAUCCUAGAUUUGAAGAAACGUAUUAUCGAGGUGGGUGAGAGGACUGCAAGGUACAAAACUCGUGAUGCCUUCUCCAAAACCGUCAAUGUGACCGUUGACCCUAGAGCUCUUGCUAUCUUUGAGCAUGCCUCAAUGCUCGUUGGAAUGGAUGAACCGAAGGCAGAGCUAAUCAAACUCUUGACUGAAGAGGAUGGAUGUGCAUCGACACAACAUCAACAAGUGAAGAUGGUCUCUGUCGUUGGAUCUGGAGGAAUGGGCAAGACAACUCUUGCAAACCAAGUGUAUCAAGAGCUCAAAGGCAAACUCAAGUGUCGGGCUUUCGUGUCAGUGUCACGAAAUCCAGACAUCAUUAAUAUUCUAAGAACUAUUCUUGGUGAAGUUACCGGGCAACUUUAUACUGAUACAGAAGGAGGGAGUGUACAACAACUCCUCGCCAAUAUCUCCAACUUCCUUGUAGACAACAGCUACUUUAUUGUUGUUGACGAUAUAUGGAAGAAGCAAACAUGGGAUGUUAUUAAGUACGCAUUCCCCAUGGCCAGUUGUGGCAUAAUAAUCACCACUACUCGUGUGAAAGAUGUCGCUAAUUCAUGUCAAGCAUCAUUCGGUGGCCAUAUUUAUAAUAUAAGGCCUCUUGAUAUUGUUCAUUCAAGACAGUUAUUUCACGGAAGACUAUUUAACUCCAAAGAAAAUUGCCCUCCACACCUUAAAGAAGUUUCUGAUCAAAUCUUGAAAAAAUGUGAUGGGUUACCUUUGGCGAUCAUCGCUAUAUCUGGUUUGUUGGCUAACACGGAAAGAAGAGAGGGCCUAUGGAACCAAGUGAAAGAUUCAAUUGGCCGUGCACUUGAAAGAAAUUCUAGCGUUGAAGGAAUGAUGAAGAUAUUGUCACUUAGUUAUUUUGAUCUGCCUCCACAUCUGAAGACGUGUCUCUUAUAUGUGAGUAUAUUUCCGGAGGAUUCUUUUAUUGAGAAGAAUGAUAUCAUAAGUAGGUGGAUAGGUGAAGAAUUCAUUCACAAAGAAGGCAGAUAUACAUCACAUGAGAUAGGAGAAAGGUGUUUUAAUGAGCUCCUUAAUAGGGGUUUGAUUCAACCGGGGAAGACAAAUGAAUAUGGUGAGCUAGAGAGUUGCCAAGUUCAUGACACAAUUCUUGAUUUCAUCAUAUCCAAGUCCAUAGAAGAGAACUUUGUUACUUUACUAGGUGUUCCCAUUCUGACAAUUGGGACACAAAGCAAAGUCGUUCGUCGACUCGUUCUACAAGGAGUUAAUCAAGGAAAUUCAACAAUACAGCCAGCAGGUUUGGUGUUGUCCCAUGUACGAUCACUGAGUGUGUUUGGAGGUUUUGUGGAAAUCCCUUCUCUGGAGGAAUUCAAACAUCUGCGUGUUCUCAACUUGAGCCAUUACCAAUCAUUGGAAGAGCGUCAUCUUGAAAAUAUAGUGAGGUUGCCCCAGCUAAGGUACCUGAACGUCAAAAAUACAGAAAUAAGGAAGCUCCCAGAACAAAUCGGGCGUUUAAGUUGCCUAGAGUUGCUGGACCUAAGACACACUUGUGUAGAGGAAUUACCAGCAUCUGUUGUUAAUCUCAAAAAAAUUGACCCAUCUUCUUGUUGA
rnacentral:rRNA from 1 species